CCCCAUUUUAUUUCAGAUCCCUCACCUCAGCUAGAGCCUUCUUCUUCCUUACUCUUAUAAUGGCGAUUCGAGUCCUAUCUUCAGAGAAAUCGGUGUGGACAGAAAAAACCUUCGCUAUUUAGCCCUUUCUCUCAAACAUUCGGACCGGAAGUUCGAUUCAAGAAAUUCUGUCCGUGAAAUCCAGAAAGAGAAACCUUCGAUUCGGGCCCUAUCAUCAGAGAAAUCGGUGUGGGCAGAAAAAACCUUCGAGUUUCUCACCACGGCUUAUUUUGUCUUUGUCUUGGCGAUGAAAGGGGUAUUCUUGCCGCAUGUGGCUGGAGGAAGUUCACUGGUUCUUUGGAUCUUCUACAAGGGGAAGUCCAUGUGAAUGCUCCUCCCCAAGUGAAAACCGGUUGAGCCACCCAAUCUUGGGUCUUUCCGUCUUCUCUCUUGUUCUAUCUUAUAAAUCCUUUUGGUUUUACAGAGUUUCUUCAAUUCGUGUUGAUAUUUAUCUUUUUUAUUUCCUGAAGUUUUCUCCCAUUUUUCUCACCCCUUGUCUUAUUUUGUCUUUGUUUUGUGGCGUUAGUUUUUUUGGCGAUGAAAUGUUUAUUCUUGGCACAUUUGGCUGCGGAAGAAUUGGGCUAGUGAAUUUAGUAGUUUCCGUCCUGACUUGAAAACUCUUCGAUACCGGGGAGAACUACAAGAGCAGACAAUACCGCGGAAUAAUAUCAAUCCGAAGGUCAUGUAUCGAAGGUAAUAUUCUUGUUGAAUGUUCUAUAAUGUGCAUGUGGGAUGUGCUGUUUGUGGGUUCCAUUGCAGAUGCUGUAGAAGGAUAUUUCCGAACCUUGAGUAAUAGAUUUGCAUUCCCGAUGGUUUUUAGUCUCCUGACCUUAAAACCCAGAAAGAGAAUAGAGACUCGUUGCCUAAUCAUUAGGAUAGAUAUGCAAUUCUGAUAGGGAAUGUGUUCUUCAGAAGAUAAUGUUGUAGCAGAGAGAGUUUGCAACCGCUUUAGACUUCUGUUUCUCAUGAGGAACAGCACUUCAAGGUAAUCUCCCAAGAUUUUCGGUGUAAUACUUGAUAUUGUUUACUUUGUUUUCAUGUUUCUUGGGGAAGACAUUGGCUGCUUUUCGUCGUGUCUUAACAUUUGUUAGGCUGUGUUGUUUAGAUAACUAGAGUUUAGAUGCUUGUCUAUCUCCCGCUUACUCUUGGCGAUGCAUUUGAGUCGAACCUGUUCGAUAUUAGACACAUCUAAGGCUUGAUUUCUGUUUUUGAAUGCCGAUUCAUCAUUUGGCAUUGUUAUUCUGGCACUCUCUUCCCUGCUCGCUCAUUCAACUAAUGUCUACCUAUAUGCUCUCUGUUUCAUUGCUAUUGAAAUGAUAUCUUUUUGUUAGGUGAACAGUUUCAAGUUGAACUGUGAGUUGUGCCAGGCAAUAUCCAUCCAGGCCUUUUAUAUUGAUCUGUGUAGAUGCUGCAGAAGGAUGCUGCUUCACAAACCUUUGGGAUUGGGAUAAUAGAUUUCUGUGUUGAUUUGAUUCCCUUGAAGAGCUUGUGAAUCUCGUUCACUAAAUUUGUCUGUUCAUAGGGUCAAAGAGGAGGGAAUUCCCAAUGCUUGUUAUUCUUGUUUUCUCAAUCAUUUAUGUGACUACCUCAAUGUAUACGUACGUAUGCAUGUAUAUACGUAUGUGUGUGUA